CCUACGGGAGGCAGCAGUGAGGAAUAUUGGUCAAUGGACGAGAGUCUGAACCAGCCAAGUAGCGUGAAGGAUGACUGCCCUAUGGGUUGUAAACUUCUUUUAUAUGGGAAUAAAACAGGGUAUGCAUACCCUCUUGUAUGUACCAUAUGAAUAAGGAUCGGCUAAUUCCGUGCCAGCAGCCGCGGUAAUACGGAGGAUCCGAGCGUUAUCCGGAUUUAUUGGGUUUAAAGGGAGCGUAGGUGGAUUGUUAAGUCAGUUGUGAAAGUUUGCGGCUCAACCGUAAAAUUGCAGUUGAAACUGGCAGUCUUGAGUACGGUAAAGGUGGGCGGAAUUCGUGGUGUAGCGGUGAAAUGCUUAGAUAUCACGAAGAACUCCGAUUGCGAAGGCAGCUCACUGGACUGCAACUGACACUGAUGCUCGAAAGUGUGGGUAUCGAACAGGAUUAGAUACCCGUGUAGUC
rnacentral:rRNA from 1 species